GCGAUUGCUCGUGGAACUCCGGCUGAUUUGUAAUCAGUAGGUCGCGAGUUCGAUCCUUGCAACCGCACCA
rnacentral:tRNA from 2 species